UUCCUUCCUAAGGUGGCCUUCGACAGGUUUUCCUCUCCCGAGUUGCGAGACUUUUUACUUCGAUGUGAUAUCGUCUUGGAUGAAGUGGAGUCACUGAAAUUGACGUCGGCCAUCAUGCCUUAUCUGAUGAAGCCAAAGUGAAGCAGUUCACCAACGUUCCUGUGAAAUUGUGGCUCGAUCACCUCAAACAACUCCUCUAUGAUGCAGAGGACAUACUUGAUGAGUAUGCCACUGAACUUCUACAAUUGAAAUUGGAAUCUAAAUAUCAGACCCUCCGCCCUUACCAAACCCGCCAGGGAAUGAAAAGGUUUGGAUCAGUAGUAACGGAUAUGAAUGAAGCGCUAAAAAGAAUGAGUUUGGAAUCUGACUAUCAGACCCACCUUCACCAAACCCAACAGGAGAAUGCCGAGAUGUGAAGAGCAAGAGUGCAUGAAGAAACAGAGUUGCAGGGCAGAUUAUUAUUAAUAUUAUUAUGGGAAUUUCUCUUAGCUGGAAUGCUUCUCUUUGAAAAUGCUAAAGAAUGACGUGACUUGACAAUUGCAUGGAACUUUAUGGCCAAUUACUUUUGCCUACAAUUGCAGCUAUAAGUUAUCACUUAUCAGCAUCCCGUUACUUUCUGCCAAUAUUAAAGUUUCAACUGGUCACCAAAAUAAUGGACAUUCUGUACAGGGGGAAUCUGUUCUACAAGUCACCAGGUAAUAUGAUGCAGGGGGUACACUUCCACAGUAACAUCAGGUGUACGCAUUUGGAACAGCACCUCAAAGGUGGUCGUAUCGAAUGUUUGAAGCUUCUACAUUGCAUCACUAUUGGGUUGGAAGAUUUUUUAUAUCAUGGCAUGAAGCAGCUGAAAUUGAAGUUGUAGAGAUGUUUGCAAGACACUCGAUGUAAUCUUUUGAGUUCAAAUUGGCAGAAACAGAAGCAGACCCUCAUUAACAAGUGGAGGACACAAAAACAACUUAUUUGGUAAAUAUCCAAGACUCUGAAUGAGUUCCCAUCAACAAAGUCUGAUUGCUGAAAUAUUUCAGGGGCCCAUGCAUUAGCCAAGGAAAGUGCUCGUUUGCAGGCUUCCUUGUGUUGGUUAUAAGGUUCUGUUGAUGGCCUAACCGAAGGUGGUCACUUGAGUCAAUUUUUUAAGUUUCCUCUUUUUGUAUCUGCUGAUGACCAUACUGGUGGAUCGAUUUGACAUUCUUCGUGUCUUGGCAUGUCAGGAGGCCCUAACCUUGUUGCCGAAGAGUGGGAGCGGUAAAGGUCACAUCCUAAGGCGCUUAGAAGAUCAACAAGGCUCAAGGCCCACGCUAACACAAUCUGGACUUAGACCACUUAAGCAGACCAAGCCCAAGGUCAGCAAGCCCAGCAAGGCCAGCUUGACCGGGCCCCCUUUCCCUCAUUCCCAUUUCCCACACCCCUUAGUGAGGGCUGACUAACUAUUGUUGUACAUUUCUUCGUUACCAAAGGAAUGAAAUUGAUAGUUGAAUUUGCUCA